rnacentral:sRNA from 2 species
AUCUAUUGCUGCUAAUCUAUCGCUGUCAAUCUACCUACCGCUGCCAAUCUAUCUACUGCUGCCAAUCUAUCUAUCACUGCUAAUCUAUCGCUGCUAAUCUAUCGCUGCUAAUCUAUCGCUGCUAAUCUAUCGCUGCUAAUCUAUCGCCGCCAACCUAUCUACCGCUGCCAAUCUAUCUAUCACUGCUAAUCUAUCGCUGCUAAUCUAUCGCUGCUAAUCUAUCGCCGCCAACCUAUCUACCGCUGCCAACCUACCUACCGCUGCCAACCUACCUACCACUGCCAAUCUAUCUAUCACUGCUAAUCUAUCGCUGCUAAUCUAUCGCUGCUAAUCUAUCGCUGCUAAUCUAUCGCUGCUAAUCUAUCGCCGCCAACCUACCUACCGCUGCCAACCUACCUACCGCUGCCAACCUAUCUAUCGCUGCCAACCUAUAUAGGGUAAAUCAUGGUCCCAUUUGGUCCCAUUUUGUAAAAUGGGACCAAAUGGAACCAGAAUCACUAAUUUAUUAGUAAAACAUGAUCUGGGACUAGAUUUAUAAUAUAAACAGUGUAAAAUGACUAAUUUGCUAAACACUAUAUGGGAUCAGAACUAAGAUAUCUAAUAAUGAGACUGAGAAAAAAUUUGAUCCCAGUUUCAUGCAUGGUCAUACAGUCAGUCUAUACUCAAGAACAGA